GUUUGGUCAGUAGCUGGCUAGCAGCUGCGUCGACUGCAUCACAACCAAUUUAGUACUGAUCGACAUGAUCGAUAUUUGGAGAACCAUCUGCAUGCAUUGACGUGCAUGCAUGCAUGAGAGCUAGCUACAGAUCCGACGAUCGAUCGGUUCAACUGCUCACAAGACCUCGUCACCACUCCACACUCCUCCAUAGGCCGUUUGGCUUCGAAGUACUACACGUUUACACGCACGGUACAGUGUAGGUUCUGGCUAGUUUAGACAAGCAAUAUGCCGGCCCCGGCCGGGCCGGGAUCAUUGGUCAGGCGUUGCCACGUUUCGAUGUCACCCAGCUAGCUUGCGAAAGGUCGUCGGAGGCUCGGAGCUGUGGGGGACUGGUUUCCCAUAAUCCCACCGGGGCAUCACAUGCAGGCUUGCCAGCUUAUUAUGGUUGCUGUUACGUGUUUUCCAUAUGCAUAUAUGCAUGGAUGGUCAUCAAUUACCACCGUUUCGAUCGAUCGAUCCGAAUUGGGGUCAUUUCCAGGGUCCCAUAUAUAUGCAGCUAGCUAGCUUCAAGAGGAAGACUUUUGUUGGCGCCUCUUCCCUUUGUCGUUCCAUGGGUGGAUGCCUGCAGGGUAACAAACUCUGUGGACUGUGUGGCGCUGUGCAGUACAUAUGCUGCAGGUAUGCAGGUGCGCGCGCGCGACGACAUGAACUAAAGACAGCCUUGCAUCCAGGCACACACGUGAAGAAUGAACAAGCCUAUUUGUAAAGAACGCGAGAGAAACUCUUUUAUUCGAUCGCACCGUCAGGCUGCUAUAGCAAAGUUUUUUUUUUCUUUUUGCGAGGAGCUAUAGCAAAGAAUUGGCUAAGGAACAGACUCGCCAGCAGCCUCCCGUGUCGCUCCCGGUGGCGACACGGCCAGGCAGCGGCGGAAAACCUAGAUAUAGUCCCCCAAUCUUUGCCUCCUCCUGCCUUGCCCACCGCCCAAGGAUGCCGCCCCCCACGGGCGGACGCCACCCUAGACACAUUCGGCAACGGAGCUUAGUGGCAAGCGGGUUGGUGGCGGGGGUUUUCGGCAUUGGCUUUUCUGCCACACGCAGCAUGGCGCCUUCCUUCGAGUCGUUGCGGAGGGCCACAAUGUGCGACGCUACCCGGUGGCGUCUUCUGUUGGGUCUGAGUUGUAGGCCUGCCCUGGACCUGCGCCAAGUGCUAUCUGUUGGGCGUGGCGGUUUGGUGAGCGUUGGCAGAGGCUUGGUGCAAUGGUGGCUGGGCACUUCGACGAGUGUCCUUGUGCGGUGGCCCCUGUUCAGCCUUAUG
rnacentral:lncRNA from 1 species